AUUGCUGUUUACCAUUCCGCACUCUACCCACGGAAUACCCAUUCAGCGUGUCUGAGUUUCAACUUUACCCUUCUCCCUCUUUUUCAUUCUCACGUCUGAAGCAUCUUCUUUUUUUCAUUCUUCUUCCCAUUUCCUUCCAACCCUCAACUCUAUCAACGAGCUUCACCAUUUCUCUUCUUGUUAUAUUGGUCUUCGUUCUCUAAACUCCAAAAACCUCGUGAAAUUAUCCCAAUCUUCUAACUUCAAUGGACUAUCCUCGACGCCUCCGCCCUCUCAGGUUAGGGUUUCGAUCGAACUCGUCGAUCAUUGCAUGCAGCUCCAUCGCUGAGACUGAUACCGAAACUUCUUCUACGGCAUCCAAUAGACCCGUCUCUAUCAAUCUGGUUUAUGUUCCCACGCCAACUAAUCAAGACACUCGAACUCCUCACAGCGGGAUCACAUAUCCAGUUGGUAUAUUGAGGAUCACGGUGUUCCAAAGUCAGCUGAGUUUGAGCAUUUGUGUUUCUGCUAUUCAUUUGUGGUUGGCAUUGUAGUUUUAUUGUCUCAAUUUAGUUUUAAAAUGAUUUCUUGCAAUAAAUGAGGAUUGAUAACCAUAGUAUCUGAAAGUUGUAUGUGUGCUAGAGUCCAUUUUGAGGAAAAAAGAAGAUGAGCAUUUCUUAGUUGUGGCUUCUUACUUUACCGAGAACAAAUAAGUUGUUUUGAGAUGUUCUGAGUCUCCCCAAGCUUCCCUCAGAGAAAAGGCUAACAAGGUAAAUAUCUCAGUCAACCCUCUGUUUUACUUUUAAUCAGAAAGAUGAAAAUAUCAUUUUUGUUAUGCUUUAAUGCCAGCCCAGAGCAUUGUUUUUGAUGGCAUGCUUGUAGGUUCUUUCUCAUUUCCCCCUUUGUUUUAUGUAGCAACUACAGUAAGUUCUCAUUCUGUAAACUAAUGUCAUGGGAAAUAAAGGAAAAUUGGACUAACUUAUGCUUAACAACUUGCUUUAGCGAUAUGGAAUUUUUUUUUUUUUUGAGGUUCACUUGAAAUGUUUUUUGUAUUUUGGUUUCAUGAUAAGUGUAGGAAGGCCAAUUGAGUUUCCAUCCUGUUUGAGUUCAUUAAGGUAUUGCAUUUAUUGAUUGCAUAUUUAUGCAAAUCUAAUGUGUUGUUUGUUGGUGCUUCUUUUAAAUAAUAUUAAUUAAAAAAUCUAGGAAACUACUAUUAUCUAUUAAUUAAAUUUUGGUUGCUGCUUCAUUUUUUCCCCUUAAACAUCAGUUCAGAGAAUUAAGACCCUUCAUUUUGAUCAGUCUUUUGUUUCCUCUCCAUUAUUAUUUAAGGACAGUUCCAUCUCUACCUUUUUCCUUGAACCUACAGAUUGAGAUAUUUUAAGAUGGCUCUCAAUUGAUGUCACAUUAUGUUAAAGUUCCCUUGUUUUGGUUUCUCUUCAGCAAAAUGACAGUAAUCAUGAUCUUCAUAUGAUAUUGUACUUCAAUCUUUAUUGCUUUAAAUUUUAUGAUCUAUGGUGCUCUCUGACUUUAAAAAGUUAUUAUUUACAUUGAAUACUAAUUUAAAGCUGGUAGGAUACAAUUUACUGAGUUAAUGAAAUAGAUGCCACAGUUGACAUAUAUAUAUUUGAUUAUUAAACAAGUAUUAGUGCUUUGAAUGGGGAACAACCUAGUGGUUUGGCAAGUACUUCAGAAAAGUUUUUGAAAGGUGAGACCACACCUGUUCAAAUGCCUGACCUGAUCGACACUGGUGAUCCAGAUGAUUACAAUGGACUAGAUAGUUCCACAAAAGAUCAAAAUGAUCAAAAUACUGCAGUACGGACAGCAACACCUCUUAUUGAUGACUUACUUGGAGAUGGUAUUAGUAUUAAUCUCAGCACCAGUGAACUGAAAAAUGAUGAUGAUCCCUUUGCAGAUGUCUCAUUUCACACUACUAAGGGAAGAAAAAAUGUGGAUGAUCUCUUCUCUGGGAUGAGUGUAGAUGACAAGUCAGCUAUGAGUGAUAAUUGUGUGACGUGCAUGCCCAUUUUUUGCAUGGAACACUUUUAAUUUAAUGAACAAUGAGACAAGGAACAUGAACGACCGUUUAUGUUAAUUUGUGGUUUGCCAUUUUUUUUGUAUGUGGGUUGGCUGGGUGCACUUACUCCUUUUAUCAAUUUCAUCUUAAGUACGUGUUUCACGUCUUAAGUGAAAGGUUGUAUGUGCUCUUUUUUUUUUGAGCUGGAAGUUUUCCUAUUUAUGGAAGUACUUCGAUCGGUAAAGAAAAAUUAUAUACAGAAGUAGAUUUAAAGAAACAA